rnacentral:rRNA from 1 species
GAUGAACGCUGGCGGCGUGCCUAAUACAUGCAAGUCGAGCGAACGGACGAGGAGCUUGCUUCUCUGACGUUAGCGGCGGACGGGUGAGUAACACGUGGAUAACCUACCUAUAAGACUGGGAUAACUUCGGGAAACCGGAGCUAAUACCGGAUAAUAUUUUGAACCGCAUGGUUCAAAAGUGAAAGACGGUCUUGCUGUCACUUAUAGAUGGAUCCGCGCUGCAUUAGCUAGUUGGUAAGGUAACGGCUUACCAAGGCAACGAUGCAUAGCCGACCUGAGAGGGUGAUCGGCCACACUGGAACUGAGACACGGUCCAGACUCCUACGGGAGGCAGCAGUGGGGAAUCUUCCGCAAUGGGCGAAAGCCUGACGGAGCAACGCCGCGUGAGUGAUGAAGGUCUUCGGAUCGUAAAACUCUGUUAUUAGGGAAGAACAUAUGUGUAAGUAACUGUGCACAUCUUGACGGUACCUAAUCAGAAAGCCACGGCUAACUACGUG